UUGACAUUUGCAAUGGAAGCUGUCAGGGCCCCUUGGAGACUUUCACAGUGACUUGUCAGCACCUAGUAAAAAUGAUUUGGAUGCGACCCAUCUCUUCGUGAGAUGCCCUCCCCAGCUGCCUUUCAUCUCGGUUGAAAGAAGGAGUAGGUGGGACCACCUGGAAUGGAAACGGUAGACUCCGGAGCUGUGGUGUGAUUCCAAGCCCAUCUCAUAGGCAGAUGAACGCAGGCAUGCCAAGUCUGUGGCACUCACGCUACGCUGAGCCACGCUCUUUGGUCCAAAUGGCUCCAGAGUGGCCUCUGCCUUUUGCACCUGUUGUUCCUUGCUGCACGAUGAUCUCUGCAGGCAGUUUCUUUCUUUGCGAAGGCAUGGGUGCAAAUGGUGCUAACAAUUAGGCAUCUGGGCACCCCAUGGGUUCUUACCAACUCUGGUGUGAAGAUCCAUUGAUGGCGGGGGACAAGGCUAUCGUCUGAGUCACAAGCGUGAGCGUCACCAUCUGCAACUGUAAUUCCAGCCACGUGGUCAAUUGAGCCCCUCCCGCACUCCAACCUCACCGCCAACGUUGAGGGGCAGAAGCGGCCUCAGCGUCCAGAUGGGUCCUGUUUCCCUCAAGGAUGGGCCUGUUCCAACUGCAUUUCACUGGCCUGCCUGCCUCCCCUGAGGGUUGUGUAAACAUUUCCAGAAGAUACAGAUAAGAAGAAGAAGAA